rnacentral:rRNA from 1 species
GACGAACGCUGGCGGCGUGCUUAACACAUGCAAGUCGAGCGGUAAGGCCCCUUCGGGGGUACACGAGCGGCGAACGGGUGAGUAACACGUGAGCAAUCUGCCCCUCACAUCGGAAUAACCUCGGGAAACCGACGCUAAUACCGGAUACGACCACCGAAGGCAUCUUCUGGUGGUGGAAAGUUCCGGCGGGGGGGGAUGAGCUCGCGGCCGUUGAGCUUGUUGGUGGGGUAACGGCCUACCAAGGCGACGACGGGUAGCCGGCCUGAGAGGGUGACGGGCCACGUGGGGAGUGAGAUACGGCCCAGACUCCUACGGGAGGCAGCAGUGGGGAAUAUUGGGCAAUGGGCGAAAGCCUGACGCCGCAACGCCGCGUGAAGGAAGAAGGCCUUCGUGUUGUAAACUUCUUUUACCAGGGACGAACACAAUGACGGUACCUGGAGAAAAAGCAACGGCUAACUACGUGCCAGCCGCCGCUGUAAAAC